UCCCGGGUAGUUCAGCUGGUAGAAAAUCUGCCUGGAAUUCAGGAGACCCUGGUUCGAUUCCUGGCAAGGGUU
rnacentral:tRNA from 1 species